GCAGGAGGCCAGCGACCACGGCGAUGGCAAUCAGUGCCCAGGGCGGUACUGCCCGCAGAGAGGAGACCGGGGUCAGCCGUGCUGUGCCUUGCCACCCCCAACCCCACAGCAUUGGAAAAAUGGUCGGCCGCCUUUGUGGACACAGCCCGCUACCUGAGAGACAGUGACCAGGGUCCACGACGAAGAGAGAAGCUUGGCUGUACUGAGUUUUGACCAGUUCGAUCUAUGGAGAACCAGCUCAUGGUGGAGAGGAUGGGAGGGUCCUUAUCAGGCCCAAGUGGAGAAAGAGCCUUGAGAGGGUGACCGGAGCCAGAGGCCACGAUCCUUAAGGACCUAGAAGGCUGGGCUUUGUGAGACUCCAUCUUUGGGGGAUGGGCCCCGGGCUGCUCUCCGUGGUGCUGAAGCGCCAGCUCCCACCCGUGUGGCGGCUCCCUUCACCUGGAUCCCUGGUGUCUCCCGCACAGACUUCACCAGGAAUUCAGAAAGCAGUGGGGCUUUUAUUUUCAACUCUCCAAAAUAAAGUCAUUUCAAGUGUGACUGGAAAA